UGUUGUCUACAAAAGGAACACCCGCACAAUGCCAAAGGAUAUAUAGAUAUUUUGUGUUCCAAAUCGUGGGAGAGUUUGAUGUAUAUGUGUGUGUGUGUGUGUG